ACGGGUGAGUAACACGUAGGUAACCUACCCUUCAGUGGGGGACAACAGAGGGAAACUUCUGCUAAUACCGCAUACGAUCACGGACUGGGAUGUUCGUGGUGAAAGGAUUUAUUCGCUGAGGGAUGGGCCUGCGGCCUAUCAGGUAGUUGGUGGGGUAAUGGCCUACCAAGCCUGCGACGGGUAGCCGGACUGAGAGGUCGAUCGGCCACACUGGAACUGAGACACGGUCCAGACUCCUACGGGAGGCAGCAGUGGGGAAUAUUGCACAAUGGGGGAAACCCUGAUGCAGCGACGCCGCGUGGAGGAUGACGGCCUUCGGGUUGUAAACUCCUUUUGUCGGGGACAAUGGUGAUGGUACCCGACGAAUAAGCCACGGCUAACUCUGUGCCAGCAGCCGCGGUAAGACAGAGGUGGCGAGCGUUGUUCGGAAUUACUGGGCUUAAAGGGCGCGUAGGCGGUGGUGUAGGUCUAGGGUGGAAUGCUACAGCUCAACUGUAGAGCUGCCUUGGAAACUGCAUUACUUGAGUCGGUGAGGGGAAGGUGGAAUUCCAGGU
rnacentral:rRNA from 1 species